rnacentral:rRNA from 1 species
AGAACGAACGCUGGCGGCAUGCCUAACACAUGCAAGUCGAACGAGACCUUCGGGUCUAGUGGCGCACGGGUGCGUAACGCGUGGGAAUCUGCCCUUCGGUUCGGAAUAACAGUUAGAAAUGACUGCUAAUACCGGAUAAUGACGUAAGUCCAAAGAUUUAUCGCCGAAGGAUGAGCCCGCGCAAGAUUAGCUUGUUGGUGAGGUAAAGGCUCACCAAGGCUACGAUCUUUAGCUGGUCUGAGAGGAUGAUCAGCCACACUGGGACUGAGACACGGCCCAGACUCCUACGGGAGGCAGCAGUGGGGAAUAUUGGACAAUGGGCGAAAGCCUGAUCCAGCAAUGCCGCGUGAGUGAUGAAGGCCUUAGGGUUGUAAAGCUCUUUUACCCGGGAUGAUAAUGACAGUACCGGAGAAUAAGCUCCGGCUAACUCCGUGCCAGCAGCCGC